rnacentral:rRNA from 1 species
UGAGUAACACGUAUGCAAUCCACCUGUAACAGGGGGAUAACCCAGAGAAAUCCGGACUAAUACCCCAUAAUAUGGGCGCUCCGCAUGGAGAGCCCAUUAAAGAGAGCAAUUUUGGUUACAGACGAGCAUGCGCUCCAUUAGCCAGUUGGCGGGGUAACGGCCCACCAAAGCGACGAUGGAUAGGGGUUCUGAGAGGAAGGUCCCCCACAUUGGAACUGAGACACGGUCCAA